rnacentral:lncRNA from 1 species
CCUGAGGUUCAGGGCAGGGUGCUGGGUAGAGGCGACUAGAACAGUGACUAAGGUUCAGGGCAGGGUGCUGGGGUGGAGGGUAGCUAGUAACAGGCUCUGAGGUUCAGGGCAGGGUGCUGGGUGUAGGCCGACUAGUGACAGUGACUAAGUUUCAGGGCAGGGUAUUGGGGUGGAGGCCUACUAGUAACGUGACUAUAGCUUCAGGGCAGGGUACUGGGUGGAGGCUGGAUAGUGACAGUAACUAAGGUUCAGGGCAGGGUACUGAGUGGAGGCUGGCUAGUGGUAACUAAGGUUCAGGGCAGGGUACUGGGGGAGUCAGGCUAGUGGAACUAAGGUCAGGGAGGGUACUGGGUGGGGCUGU